CGGCGCUCUUCCGAUGUAUUUGUUUCUUUUCUGAGGCGGCGCCGGGACUGCACCCAGGGCCUGGUGCACGCAGAGCACGCCCUCCACCACUUGAGCC